GGAAAAGAAACCAACAGGGAUUGCCCCAGUAACGGCGAGUGAAGCGGCAACAGCUCAAAUUUGAAAUCUGGCCCCAGGCCCGAGUUGUAAUUUGCAGAGGAUGCUUCGGGCGCGCCGCCUUCCAAGUCCCCUGGAACGGGGCGCCUUGGAGGGUGAGAGCCCCGUGCGGUCGGCGGCCGCGCCCGUGUGAAGCUCCCUCGACGAGUCGAGUAGUUUGGGAAUGCUGCUCUAAAUGGGAGGUAGACCCCUUCUAAAGCUAAAUACCGGCUAGAGACCGAUAGCGCACAAGUAGAGUGAUCGAAAGGUGAAAAGCACUUUGAAAAGAGGGUUAAAUAGCACGUGAAAUUGUUGAAGGGGAAGCGCUGGUGACCAGACGUGCGCUGGGGCGAUCAACUGGCGUUCUCGCCAGGGCACUCGUCCCAGCGCAGGCCAGCGUCGGUUCGGGCGGGGAGAGAAGGGCGCCGGGAACGUAGCUCCUCCGGGAGUGUUAUAGCCCGGCACUGGAUGUCCCCACCUGGACCGAGGUCCGCGCUCUGCAAGGACGCUGGCGUAAUGGUCAUCAGCGGCCCGUCUUGAAACACGGACCAAGGAGUCGAGGUUCUGCGCGAGUGUGUGGGUGCCAAACCCGUACGCGGAAUGAAAGUGAACGCAGGUGAGAGCUUCGGCGCAUCACCGACCGAUCCUGAUGUCUUCGGAUGGAUUUGAGUAGGAGCGCAGGGCCUCGGACCCGAAAGAUGGUGAACUAUGCUUGGAUAGGGUGAAGCCAGAGGAAACUCUGGUGGAGGCUCGCAGCGGUUCUGACGUGCAAAUCGAUCGUCAAAUCUGAGCAUGGGGGCGAAAG
rnacentral:rRNA from 1 species